UGCAGUCGAUUACAAUAAAUUAAUUUUAGUUCAUGUUGUAGUUAAGUAAGUUCAGUAAGUUACAUGUCUUAACUCAGCAUUAGUUUAUAUUUACUAAUAUUUAAGUAAGAAUUCAUUUAGGUAUACGUUCAAUGUUUCCAAUGAUGAGCAGUUAAUCCACUAAACCCAGAGAUAAUUCCUGAGGCAUGUUUAAAGAGUUUUGUAUUUCAUCAAGAAGGUGCUGCUGAUUCACAAAGAUUUUAUAUUUAAGAAAAUCUGAGCAUCAUUCCAAAUAACUGUUAACAUGUUUGUCAACUAAACAUGUUUUGUAAACGUAAUAAACUUUAUAAAAAUAUUUUUUAUUUUUUAUUAAUAAUCAAGUAUAAAGAACAAUGCAUAGUGUGAAAACGCGGAUUAUAAAAAGUAUAUUAAAGAAAAGGACUACAUUUCCCAGAAUGCACCUGCACCUACUCAUCUGCCCCCACCCUUCAGGUGCGACUGCUCAACCUAUGGGCUUGACGGGAAAAUUCAAAAUCGCGAACCGUUACUGCCUGGACUACUCCGUCUCUUGUUUGUUUGUUUGCUCAUUAACAGUAAGGUAAGUUUGAUUUAAUUCAUUUGUCUGCAUCGCGCUGAUCGGUUGCCUAUUUGUUCAUAUUAUGUUAUUAACUAUGAUUCGUUUUUGUCUUUAUACUAGAACUGUUUGAAUUUAAACCACAAACAGUAAAACAUUAAGGUUAUACGUGGUACACAGCGGUAAACAUGAGGUUAAAAAUACGCGAAGUAACAUUCAAACCGGGCUGUUAAAAGAAUCAAUUCGAUGUUUAAAUUUUUAAAAACAAAACUUUAAAGAAGCCAAGAUGAGACGUUAUUUGCUUAAAACAAACAAAACAACAGUAACUCGUGUGUUUGAAAUGUUAGCAGCUAGCAAGUGUCUCUCUGCUAUUUUAAAUGGUACUGACGAUCUUUUGUUGUUUUAAAAGCUCAUUCAGUUCUGGUAGAUGCUGCUUAUUUUUCAAGACUGUUUUAAUAGCUUUAUAUUGAUUUGUAACAAAGCCAGCUUCACUUUAAGAGAACCUAGAUGCUAAUUGUAAAGAAGCUUGGAGUCAUAAUAUAUUUAAACGUUAUAUGUUUGAUGUUCUUCAUCUUUUUAAAUAUGAAGUCUAUACAUGUUUGUGUUUACAGAGGUCAUGUACACUGUGGUCAACUUUGUGGACGAUGAAGAGGUUUCUGGGUAAAGCAAAUAGAAAUAUAAUGAAGUAACAGUGAAAGCUAAAACAUCAGACUGAUCCAGACACUGAAGAAAUUGAUGUCACUGCAAUCUGGCCAAAAUGAUACAACUAUAUUGAAGUAACCUACUGUAAUGAAGCUGCAGAACAACACAGAGACUCUGAGGACAUCAACACAGAAAAUUAAGGCUCCAAAGAGAUGUCUGUCCAGAUGAGGGUGCAUCAACGUUACCUUUGCUGACAAGUAUAUGCUUUACAAUGUAAAACCUAACAGUUAACUUAACUCAAACCAUUUAAGGAAAUC